rnacentral:sRNA from 1 species
UGUUGCAACAUCCCCGUGGGUUGGGGGAACGGCAGAGCUUAGGGCCGUCUCAGUGAAUCCACUGCAACA